AUUGAACGCUGGCGGCAGGCUUAACACAUGCAAGUCGAGCGAGCGGCGGACGGGUGAGUAAUGUCUGGGAAACUGCCUGAUGGAGGGGGAUAACUACUGGAAACGGUAGCUAAUACCGCAUACCAUCAGAUGUGCCCAGAUGGGAUUAGCUAGUAUGGGGGGGAAUGGCUCACCUAGGCGACGAUCCCUAGCUGGGCUGAGAGGAUGACUAGCCACACUGGAACGGAGACACGGGCCAGACUCCUACGGGAUGCAGCAGUGGGGAAUAUUGCACAAUGGGCGCAAGCCGGAUGCAGCCACGCCGCGUGUGUGAAGAAGGCCUUCGGGUUGUAAAGCACUUUCAGCGAGGAGGCGUUACUCGCAGAAGAAGCACCGGCUAACUCCGUGCCAGCAGCCGCGGUAAUUC
rnacentral:rRNA from 1 species